rnacentral:tRNA from 1 species
GAUAUUUUUGUUAUUAUAAAGGUUUUGAAAACCUUUGAAGGAAAAAAUUUUUUUUUCCAACAUUUA